UUCCGCUCCUCGCUGCGCUGUGUUUAGCACUGAGUGGCUGAGGCGCAGGAGGCGUUAGCUCUGAGGCUAACAGGAUGAGCGCACUGCGGAAAGUCUUCAGCUACACAGCCGCCGUGGCAGCGCUGAUUACCGGAUACGCGUUCUGGAGGAGCCUCGGUCCCGAAGAGCAGCGGAACCAAGAACUACUGAAGAACCUGCCGGAGUCCAAUCCAGCUCGGAUGGAGGAGAGCAGGAGGAGGAACGCUCAGAUCAUGGAGCUGCUCAAAGAUGCUGCACAGACCAACGACAACAUCGCUCGCACCUAUGGCAGCCAGAAAUAACCACGCCCACCUUCUAACUCAAGUCAAGUUUAUUUCUAUAGUGCUUUUAACAAUAGACAUUGUUGCAAAGCAGCUUUACAGAAUUUGAAUGAUUUUAAACGAGAGCUAAUUUUAUCCCUAAUCUGUCCCCACACCAACAUGUGGGAUGGGCGAAACACUUCUGAUGGAGUGUGUGUGUGAGAAAGAGACCGAGACUCCACACACAGUCCGUCCCCACUCUGCUGUCCCAUGCUGAAUAUCAGAACUCCAUUUUUAUCAGUCAGUGUGUUGUGGAGGAACUGUCCGUCUCUCUCUCUCUCGCUGAUGAAUGAAGAAUGAAAUGAAUGCCGCAGGUCAGUGCUGAAGUGUUUGUGGAUGUUCUGCGCAGCGUGUGCGCACAGCUGACGCGCUCGUGCUCUGUGGGUGACGUGUUUCCGGUGUGAAAGGUCAGAGCGCGUGAGUGUUUUUGGACGCUGCUGUUCAGUCGGUGAUCUUUCCCCCCA